AGCGACACAUUCAAUCUAAACUAAAGCACACAACUUAAGCAAACAAAAUAAAUGCAACACCAAAGUUAUCAUAUACAUGUCCGAUAUCAAGCUUUACAAAACUGAAUGGUGGAUCGCAGUGAAAGUUGUUCACACCAGAUAACAAUUCAGUGAACAAUUUGGUGAGACAAUGGAACUCAUUUUCUCUGACAAGAAGGAUCAAAAAAUCAUGCAUCAUGCAAAAAACUACUUGCUUAGUUUGGGCAGGGACUUCCAUGUGGGUGAUUGGAAAAACAGAGAAUUAUUUUCACUAAGUGCAGCAGCUGGUGGAUACUAACCUACCACUCACGUUAUAAAAUGGGGUUUAUGAAGUUCACCUCCAUUACUCCAUAUAAAUUCAGUAAUAUGAUGUUGUGGAACAAGCCAUAGAUAUUGUAGAAAAAAGCCAUUAAACGUAAGUAACCACCUUCUUUAAAAAAAAACG